rnacentral:rRNA from 1 species
AUGAACGCUGACAGAAUGCUUAACACAUGCAAGUCAACUUGAAUUUGGGUUUUUAACUUAGGUUUGGGUGGCGGACGGGUGAGUAACGCGUAAAGAACUUGCCUCACAGCUAGGGACAACAUUUGGAAACGAAUGCUAAUACCUAAUAUUAUGAUAAUAGGGCAUCCUAUAAUUAUGAAAGCUAUAAGCGCUGUGAGAGAGCUUUGCAUCCCAUUAGCUAGUUGGAGAGGUAACGGCUCACCAAGGCGAUGAUGGGUAGCCGGCCUGAGAGGGUGAUCGGCCACAAGGGGACUGAGACACGGCCCUUACUCCUACGGGAGGCAGCAGUGGGGAAUAUUGGACAAUGGACCGAGAGUCUGAUCCAGCAAUUCUGUGUGCACGAUGAAGUUUUUCGGAAUGUAAAGUGCUUUCAGUUGGGAAGAAACAAAUGACGGUACCAACAGAAGAAGUGACGGCUAAAUACGUG